rnacentral:lncRNA from 1 species
AAUCUCAACUUCUUUCGCCUUUCCGAUCUAAGUGGCAUUUUUCAUUUCCAAUUUGUGGAUCACGUCAAUGGUGAGUAUUAUGCUUCUCCAAUUACAUUUUCCCCUUCUGUUGACAAACUUCUCUCGGUCUUAAUUUCAUAAAUUUCGAUCUGCAGAAACAUUUUGUUAGUUGCGUAUAGACUUCAUUGAUGCUCAAAAUCACAAUUUCUUCAAAGUAAACAGACAUCGAUACUUUUUGCAUUAUUAUUAUUGUUCUAAAACGGUGAACGAGAUGGAGGAUGAUCAUGUUGAAGAUACAGAGGUUGAAGUCCUCUCUUCAACGUGGCCUGAAGACAUUAAUGAAGCUGGAAAAAAGUUCAGUGUAGAAAAACCAGGACUCCAUGAAGAUAUGUUAGAGGAUGUUGCAUUCAUUGAAGAGCCUAGUAUAGUUGACUUCACAAGGUUAGUAGAACUCACAAGUUACAGUGAAAAGGGGUCCUCACAGUUAGCUUACCUGGUAAAAAACUGGGAAUAUAAACAAGAAAAUGCUGUGAGACUUUUGAGGGAAGAGCUUGAAAACUUGAGAAAACAACAACAUGAAGUUAAGCUUAAAAAUUUAGAUAUCUUUGAACAAAAUCGUUUUGAAGGUGAUAAACGUCCGGUUUCUGUGCUGGAUGAAGGUUAUGAAAAUUUUCAAGAUGUACCCGAGAAAAUAAAUGAUGUUAUUGCUGAAGAUAAACGGGUAGAAAUAGAUGCUGAAUAUGAUACAGUUAUAUAUUGGAAGCAAAAGGCAUUGCAUUUGGGAAAAUUGUUGGAAGAAAGUGUUGAGAGAGAACAUAUUCUUUUGGAGAAGUUGGAGGAAAGCAUUGAGAAUCUUGAAAAACAAUCAUCGCCUGUUGAAGAACUGUCCCAGAUCUUGAAAAGAGCUGAUAAUUUUUUACAUUUUGUUCUUCAAAAUGCACCCGUUGUUAUUGGCCAUCAGGUAAUUUGAUUUCAAGCAAACCCUUUUUCUUUUUUUCCUUUUUUGCCCUUUUUACAUUAUGAUUGUCAUAUCUCAGGACAAUGAGUUGCGAUAUCGCUUCAUUUAUAAUCAUUUUCCAAGUUUACAAGAAGAGGUAAUAUGAUCAUCAUCAAAUUUUAUAAAUUCAAAUUUAUUGUUUGUUGUAAGUUCAUAGAUUUUUGAACCAUGUCUUUUUUUUUCCUAAUACUAUGCACAGGAUAUAAUCGGGAAAACAGAUGAGGAAAUAUUCAAAGGUGGUGGUGUAAAGGAAUCCCAAGACUUCAAAAGAGAAGUUCUUGAAAGAGGAUUACCAGCAAAAAGAGAAAUUACUUUUGAAAACGAAUUAUUUGGUGACAAAACAUUUUUAUUAUAUGUUGAACCUGUUUUCAGCAAAGAUGGAGAAACAAUUGGUGUUAAUCACAUGGGCAUGGACAUCACUGAUCAGGUACGUUCUUUGUUUGGUCUAUUAUAGCAUCCUACUUUUAUCUUUUCUUAUUACAACAUUGUGCUUUGAAAAAUCUACCCAAUUCACUUUUAUAAUUUGAUAGAUUUUCAAAGUAAUGAAAGUAGGAUNNNNNNNNNNNNNNNNNNNNNNNNNNNNNNNNNNNNNNAUUUAUCAUGUGACAGGUUAGAAGGAGAGAAAAGAUGGCAAAACUCCGGGAAGAAAUAGCUGUGCAGAAGGCUAAAGAGGAAGAACUUAAUAAAACCAUUAAUAUUACAGGUUGGUAACUUUUCUUUCUCUUAAACCUUAAAAUUUUUUCUAUAUAUGAAAAAGUAUUAUCGAACAUUUUGCCUAAAUCAAUUUCUUUUAGAGGAAACUAUGAGAACGAAACAAAUGUUGGCAACCAUGUCACAUGAGAUAAGAUCUCCAUUAUCUGUGGUCAUUAGCAUGGCAGAGAUUUUAUCAACUACAAAACUCGAUAAGGAUCAAAAACAACUCUUGGGUGUUAUGUUAUCUUCUGCUGAUUUAGUUCUUCAACUUAUAAAUGACAUUCUUGAUCAUUCCAAAGGCGAGUCAGGUUACUUUUCAACCCUUUAUAAUUGGUAUUUUUUUUAAAGACUGAUGUUUAUACUGUGUAGUAUUUAAAAGUUUAGAUUAUUUUCAGGAGUUAUGAAGCUGGAAACUACAAAAUUCAGGCCUAGAGAAGUAAUCAAUGAUGUUCUUCAAACUGCUACUGCAUCAUUGAAAAAGAAGCUGAUUUUGGAAGGACACGUAGCAGAUGAUGUCCCAUUGGAGGUUUAAUCUCUAAUAUCGAUACAACUUGCUAUAAAAAGAAAACAUUUAUGUUAACAUUUGCUAAAACAAUUUCAGAUUAUUGGUGAUGUUCUAUGGAUUCGACAGAUUCUCACCAACUUGAUCAGGUAUUUCUAACCAGGUCAAAAUGGUCCAUACACAACAAAUUCUAAACUCAUAAAUUUUGUGCAGCAAUGCUAUUAAGUUUACUCACCAAGGGAAGGUCGAGAUAAAUCUAUAUGUAAUAUCAGAUCCAUAUCCUCAACAUGAACCGAAGAAGAUAAACACAGAUGACUCAUCGAUCUCAGCAAAAAACAAUGGGCAUGAGGAGAAUGAACCUGACUCGCAUGAAACGGUAGUCUGGAUACGCUGUGAUGUUAAAGAUACAGGAAUCGGAAUACCAGGUACCUUUCAAAUUCCAAAUUUCUCAUUUUCGUAGCUUCAUGUUAACUAUAAUAUUUUAUUCAUCGAUUUGAUCGAUGUCAGAAACUGUAUUGCCGAAUUUAUUCAAAAAAUACACGCAAGCCAGUGCAAAUACAGCUAGGAAAUACGAUGGGACUGGAUUAGGUUUAGCGAUCUGCAAACAAUUGGUAAUGAUUCUGGAUUCGGAAUUGAAAUCGAAAUUGGAACGUGAGAAAAAAAAAUUGGUUUUGACCUAAAAUCCAUGUGAAUCGUGAUUUAUCGCAGGUUGAGCUGAUGGGAGGUCAUCUGACUGUAUCGAGUAAAGAACAUUGUGGAUCUACAUUUACUUUCGAUUUACCUCAUAAAGUUUCACAUCCGUGGUUCAGAUGAUAUGGCCGAUAACGACGAGUCUGAAGAUGACGAUAUCACUUGUGAUGUCGGAGCAGAGAAGUCGAGAAACUAGAGCUCUUUGGUAACUGUUAAAUAUAGGUCGACUUUAACGAAAAUUACGAAGGUUUGUUUCUAACUAGGGGUAUUCCGCGUUUAGUUCUACUUUAAUAAAUUUGUUAUUUGUUUACGUGUAGUGAAACUGAAAGCAGUAAGACAAACUUAUGAAAAUAAGUUGCUGUUCCUUACAUUUAAUCAAUC